rnacentral:rRNA from 1 species
AGAAUCAACGCUGGCGGCGUGCCUAACACAUGCAAGUCGCACGAGAAAGUGGAGCAAUCCACGAGUAAAGUGGCGCACGGGUGAGUAACACGUGAAUAAUCUACCUCCGAGUGGGGAAUAACUGAGAGAAAUCUUAGCUAAUACCGCAUAAUACCCACGGGUCAAAGCAGCAAUGCGCUUGGAGAGGAGUUCGCGGCCGAUUGGCUAGUUGGCGGGGUAAUGGCCCACCAAGGCGAUGAU